rnacentral:rRNA from 1 species
GCUCAGGACGAACCGCUGGCGGCGUGCUUAACACAUGCAAGUCGAACGGAAAGGCCUCUUGCUUGCAAGGGGUACUCGAGUGGCGAACGGGUGAGUAACACGUGGGUGAUCUGCCUUGCACUCUGGGAUAAGCUUGGGAAACUGGGUCUAAUACCGGAUAUGAACUGCCUUUAGUGUGGUGGUUGGAAAGUUUUUUCGGUGCAAGAUGAGCUCGCGGCCUAUCAGCUUGUUGGUGGGGUAAUGGCCUACCAAGGCGUCGACGGGUAGCCGGCCUGAGAGGGUGUACGGCCACAUUGGGACUGAGAUACGGCCCAGACUCCUACGGGAGGCAGCAGUGGGGAAUAUUGCACAAUGGGCGGAAGCCUGAUGCAGCGACGCCGCGUGGGGGAUGACGGCCUUCGGGUUGUAAACUCCUUUCGACAGGGACGAAGCUUUUUGUGACGGUACCUGUAUAAGAAGCACCGGCUAACUACGUGCCAGCAGCCGCGGUAAUACGUAGGGUGCGAGCGUUGUCCGGAAUUACUGGGCGUAAAGAGCUCGUAGGUGGUUUGUCGCGUCGUCUGUGAAAUUCCGGGGCUUAACUUCGGGCGUGCAGGCGAUACGGGCAUAACUUGAGUGCUGUAGGGGAGACUGGAAUUCCUGGUGUAGCGGUGAAAUGCGCAGAUAUCAGGAGGAACACCGAUGGCGAAGGCAGGUCUCUGGGCAGUUACUGACGCUGAGGAGCGAAAGCAUGGGUAGCAAACAGGGA